rnacentral:rRNA from 1 species
GCAAGUCGAACGAGAACGGCACUUCGGUGUUUAGUAUAGUGGCAAACGGGUGAGUAACACGUGGGAACCUACCUUAUAGUUUGGGAUAACAGUUGGAAACGACUGCUAAUACCAAAUACGCUCUACGGAGGAAAGAUUUAUCGCUAUAAGAUGGGCCCGCGCUAGAUUAGCUAGUUGGUAAGGUAAGAGCUUACCAAGGCUACGAUCUAUAGCUGGUUUGAGAGGAUGAUC